UACAGAGGUCUCAAGCGUUGUUCGGAUUCAUUGGGCGUAAAGGGUGCGUAGGCGGCGCGGUAAGUCGGGUGUGAAAUCUCGGGGCUUAACUCCGAAACUGCAGUUCGAUACUGCCGUGCUUGAGGACUGGAGAGGAGACUGGAAUUUACGGUGUAGCGGUGAAAUGCGUAGAUAUCGUAAGGAAGACCAGUGGCGAAGGCGGGUCUCUGGACAGUUCCUGACGCUGAGGCACGAAGGUCAGGGGAGCAAACGGG
rnacentral:rRNA from 1 species